rnacentral:tRNA from 1 species
AGAAAGCCUUAAGAUUGCGGGCUCAUAACCCGAAGGUCGGCGGUUCAAAUCCGUCCUCCGCAACCA